rnacentral:lncRNA from 1 species
CAUGUACUAGGUCUCAACAAACCAAGCCAAACCAAACCAAACCAAAAUGGAGUUGCUUGUGCUAGGACUUUAAGGAAACACAUAGAUUCUAGAACAAAUCAGGUUUUGUUCUGAAUCCUGCAAAUCUCUAUAAUACAGAUUUCUGACAGCAUAGGUAUCCACCCCCUAAAGUCCCCAUUAAAUCUUUUAACCAAAUUCAUUUCCUCUGGCCUAGAGACCAUCAAGCUUCAGAUGAUCAUGCAACAAAAGUCCCAGCUAGUUCCAGGUGAAGACAACACACCUGGCCUUCAAAAAGCUACUCUGCCUCCACUAGAGAGAACAGGGCGAGAGUUCCAUGAUCCCCAGUAGGGCAUACCAGAAAUAACCAGUGGAAUCCUCUAGGGGGUAUUUAAACUCCCAAAAAUUCUGUAACGUGGCCUUGGAGCUCCUAUGCUCAGGUCCGCUCACACACUGUGGAGUGUACUUUCAUUUUCAAUAAAUUCCUUU